UAGGGAAUCUUCCGCAAUGGACGCAAGUCUGACGGAGCAACGCCGCGUGAGUGAAGAAGGAUUUCGGUUCGUAAAACUCUGUUGUUAGAGAAGAACAGCGCACAGAGUAACUGUUAUGCGUGUGACGGUAUCUAACCAGAAAGCCACGGCUAACUACGUGCCAGCAGCCGCGGUAAUACGUAGGUGGCAAGCGUUGUCCGGAUUUAUUGGGCGUAAAGCGAGCGCAGGCGGUCAAUUAAGUCUGAUGUGAAAGCCCCCGGCUCAACCGGGGAGGGUCAUUGGAAACUGGUUGACUUGAGUGCGGAAGAGGAGAGUGGAAUUCCAUGUGUAGCGGUGAAAUGCGUAGAUAUAUGGAGGAACACCAGUGGCGAAGGCGACUCUCUGGUCUGUAACUGACGCUGAGGCUCGAAAGCGUGGGUAGCAAACAGG
rnacentral:rRNA from 1 species